rnacentral:sRNA from 1 species
UAUUCUGCCCCAUGGGGAAGGAUGAGAAGCUUCGACUAAGGUUCGACUCGAGCGCCAGCGAGAGAACGUUGCCACAGGCAACG